rnacentral:ncRNA from 2 species
AUCAAUUUGAUUAUAAUUUGUAUAUUAAAAAUUGAUUGAUUAAAAGGGAAACAGGUGAGAUUCCUGAACUAUCCCGUAGCUGUAUUAGAGGAGUUUAAAUACAUUAUGCCACUUUUAAACAGGGAAGGCGCAUUUAAAUAUCGAUUCUUAAGUCAGAAGACCUGCCUAUAUUUUGCACUAUAA